CUGUAAACUGAAGCCUCUCGGCUUUCAGCCACUGAAAACGCUGCCCAGCCUCUCUACCGAUUUACUUUUUUUCUUUAGCAUAAAAAAUGUAUCCUCAGUGUAUAAUCAAGCUAACCAUAACUUCUUUUUUUUUUAAUUUCAACUUUUUAUAUUCCGUGAGUUUUACUCUCCACUUUAAUGCAGCAGUUUGCCUCUUUUGCCAAGCAGAGGCAGACCCAGGGUGGAGCAGGCCCUAGUGAGGUCAAAGUGCAGAGUAUAAACCUCUGCUCCAGAAGGGUUCAGGAGUGAGGGAGAAGUCACUCUUCAGUUGUUCCCCAAACCAGGUUUCACUGCAAAAUCUGUGAGCUCUCCGGCCAAUUGGACUCCCCGCCUUUUGAUCCACGCGCCACAUUCAGCCAAUGGCAGGAGCCCGGAGCUUGACUGACAGCGAUACCGGAGAGAGCCCGAAAAGAAGGUUUUCAGGAGGAAAGGGAGGGGACGGCAGAGAGAUACAGUCUUUUGGCACCAGCUGCUGAGAGUCUUCUCUCCACCGCUGUCAGAGUGGCUGUUUAUUUUAAAAUGCUCCCGUGGUGCCACGUUGAUACGUCUUGGCAACCCCGCUCAACCUACCCGCUUCUCAACUCUGAUAAUUAAGAUUCAUGAACCUGCCUCCAUGUCAACUCUUACAGAUGUGAGUCAUAUAUCUGCGUUCACAUCAGCAUCUUUCUUCAUUUAGAUAUUGACUUAUAUAGUGCUCUCACAUUCUGCGAUCUAUAGCCCCGCGCAGUGUGUAUUAUAUCUCUAUUUCUGCACGGUUUUGUCUGGUCACUUGAGAGCAGCCGUUUGCUCUACGCUUCAGAGUGAUGGGGACGAGGGGAGCAUCGACGAGGAUUGCGUUAGCCGCAUGGCUUAACACCGACUGCUAAAGAGCUCCAAAAACUAUGACGGAGGCUUUAAUUACUUUAACUAUACCAGCAGGGAUGCCAGCAAAUCAGAGACGCACUGAUUUUUACCAAUGGGAAAAAAGCUAUUCA